CUAUAUCUAUGAAAGUCUUUUUGGGUCGUCUUUCCACUUUCCCAACCAUCACAACUCUAGUUUUGGUAGAAAUAAACACCUAGUUUACCGAUUUAUAUGUGAAAAUAUGUUGGCUCUAUACACGCAAACAUAUUUUUUUAAAU